AUUGAACGCUGGCGGCAUGCCUUACACAUGCAAGUCGAACGGCAGCAUAGGAGCUUGCUCCUGAUGGCGAGUGGCGAACGGGUGAGUAAUAUAUCGGAACGUGCCCUAGAGUGGGGGAUAACUAGUCGAAAGACUAGCUAAUACCGCAUACGAUCUACGGAUGAAAGUGGGGGAUCGCAAGACCUCAUGCUCCUGGAGCGGCCGAUAUCUGAUUAGCUAGUUGGUGGGGUAAAAGCCUACCAAGGCGACGAUCAGUAGCUGGUCUGAGAGGACGACCAGCCACACUGGGACUGAGACACGGCCCAGACUCCUACGGGAGGCAGCAGUGGGGAAUUUUGGACAAUGGGGGCAACCCUGAUCCAGCAAUGCCGCGUGGGUGAAGAAGGUCUUCGGGUUGUAAAGCUCUUUUGUCAGGGAAGAAACGGUAGUAGCUAAUUUCUAUUACUAAUGACGGUACCUGAAGAAUAAGCACCGGCUAACUACGUGCCAGCCGCCGCAGUAA
rnacentral:rRNA from 1 species